rnacentral:rRNA from 1 species
GUGGCUAAUACCGGAUGUGCCGAAAGGUGAAAGAUUUAUUGUUUGAAGAUGAGCUGGUGUGUGAUUAGGU